UACAGAGGGUGCGAGCGUUAAUCGGAAUUACUGGGCGUAAAGGGUGCGUAGGUGGUUACGUAAGUUAGGUGUGAAAUCCCCGGGCUCAACCUGGGAACUGCGCUUAAUACUGCGAAGCUAGAGUGUUGUAGAGGUAAGUGGAAUUUCCGGUGUAGCGGUGAAAUGCGUAGAUAUCGGAAGGAACACCAGUGGCGAAGGCGACUUACUGGGCAAUAACUGACACUGAGGCACGAAAGCGUGGGGAGCAAACAGG
rnacentral:rRNA from 1 species